ensembl:lncRNA
GCUCGUUUAGAGAACCUUUUCAUGAUAUGCUAAUUUUUUAAGAUAGGAAUUUUGGGUUUUCAUGAGCUGCAUGCCAAAAUCAUCAGUAUUAAAACAAUAAAAGACCUGAAAUAUUUCAGUUGGUGUGCAAUGAAUCUAAAAUAUAUGAAAGUUUAAUUUUUAUCAUUACAUUAUGGAAAAUAAUGAACUUUUAUCACAAUAUGCUAAUUUUUUUAGAAUGACCUGUACAGCCAUGUUUGAAAACUUUUCCCAGAAGUCAGUGUGGUACUAGGAAAAGGGCUUUUAACAGCUCCUGGUAUAAGGGCAUGGCUUGAAUAUUCUGUAAGUAAAGAUUCAGCAUAUUGUUUUGCCUGUAGGCAUUUUUCUCUGCCCAAUACACCUGAAUCUGCCUUCACUUCCCAGUCAGGAUUUUGUAACUGAAAAAAAGCUCUGUUUAAAGAUUCUGGGUUUAAGCUCCAUUCAAAGGCAGAGCAUCAUAUCAAUGCUAUGUGUGCCUGGAAUCAGCAUAAAAGGGCUGUUAACAGCAACUCAUCGAUGUUAGAUCUCAUAAAUGAGGACCGGAAAAAGAAAGUGGAGGAAAACCGUACCUACCUUAAAACAAUUGCAGAUGUGCUACUAUUAACUGCCACUCAAAAUAUAGCAGAGAUAUUGUGAAAUAUUGUGAGUCUUAUGACAACAAGGGCAUUUUUUUGACAAUCUUAGAAGAAAUUGCAAAGCAUGACCCUCUCAUUAAGAAAAGGAUAAAUGUAUGUGGCAAUGCUAAGUACACAAGCCACCAAACCCAGAACGAAGUUCUUGAGGGAUUAGCUGAGAUGGUACAAAGUGAAAUAAUCAGUGAAGUAAAAGAAUGCAAAGUUUUUAGUUAUUGUAGAUGAAACCAAAGAUUUAAAGAAAACAGAACAGAUCUCUUUAGUUGUGAGGUAUUAAGACGGGGCCAUCCAUGAAAGCUUUUUACACUUCCAGUCAGCUGAAAGCUUAGAUGCAGCAGGCCUCACAAAAAUGAUAAUUGAUUGCCUUGAAAAACAUGGCCUGGACUACAGAAAAAAUGUUGUGGGGCAAGUCUAUGACGGUGGAGCCGUGAUGAGCAGAAAGCAUUCUGGUGUGUCCACGCGGAUUAAAAACAGUGCAAGAUUCGCAUUUACUGUGCACUGUAAUGCACAUUGUUUGAAUUUGGUUCUUGUCGAUGCUGUAAAUUCUGUUCCUGAAUUGUGAGAUAAUGCAAGGGGUCUAGUCUCUCAACCCAAAGAGUACAACAUUCUUAUAUGAGGAGUAUCUUUUUGCCUUUGCUCAGAUAUUUGAGUCAGAUUUAGAGGACUUCAAACAUGAGGUUCAUCAAACCAAGCGGCUGGAAGUGACAGACCAUCUACUCUCCUUGACUUUGUUGUGUUUCUAGAACCUUAUAAAGAGGUCUUCCAUGAGCUAUUUCGACUUUGUAAGAUUUCUCUUGUUACACUUGUCAGCACUGCUUCUUGUGAUAGAAGCUUCUCAGCUUUAAAACUGAUUAAAACCCAGCUUAGGACAACAAUGGCUGAUGACAGGUUAAGUCACCUCGGAAUUCUCAGUGUUGAGUCAAGGAGAGCACGAUCCCUCAACAUGGAUGAAUUUGUGAAACAUUUUGCCAGUUCUCACCAGAGCCACAGAAUUAUGUUGAAUUAAAUCUUCCUAGGAUACGAUUGUAAUAUUGAUGGCCACUUAAAUUGUUAAUAUUUUUCAAAUCCAUGUCUGCUUGAUGCCUGCUAUAUCUAAUUUCAGUUUUUA